CACCGCUCGGUCUGAAGCUUCAAGCAUGGUAAAUCACAAGAGAAACAGAGAGGAGAGGAAGACGGGAGGGGACCAAGGACGUAAACAUCCCUUGGAGCUUUGGAAUCGUCAGCCCAGAAGGUUUAGAAAACCUCUCUCUCCCUUAGAGGCUUAUUUACGUUGACGUAGGGCUAGCCUCUCUCCUGCUGUCCUUCUCAUCCUAUGUAAGAUGCAAGACCCAUGUGCUCCUUCAGGAUCUGCCCAGCAGAAAUCCUGCCCUACCUUCCCUCUUGUGCCUCUCCCCAGCUAACAGAGGUCUCUGUCAUGUCCUCCAGCUCCAGUUGCUGAUUGUCCCUCACAGUGCCUGUCCCUUGGGCAGCAGCAUUCACAGGACCAAGCAAAUAAACCUUGCUCUGAAUUGCCCUCAAGAGCCUCCUUAAAUGAUCAUCCUCUGAAGGGCCCCAAGCGCCUGUCCUCAGCAGUUUCAAGCCAUUAUUAAUGGAUUGAAUUCAUACUUCUUCUUUAUUUGCACAUUAUAUUAAACUUUGUGAAAUUUA